UAAAGACCAGAAGUUGUUAUUCCUCUUGCUAGCUUGGCGCUACCACUAUGCAAAAGCGUGGGGAGAACGGAUUGAGGUAAAAACCCUUUUUACAGCCUAUGGCUAGACAUUGACAACGUGAGAGACCAACUGUAGGGACAAAUUCGGCAGACGUUGGUCCAAAGUAAAUUUGGUAUAUUUUGUCGUUGUUUUGUCUUCCGCUGAAUAUGGCAGCGAGUAGAGACCCCGGAGCCCUGGUGCGGUGCGUAGCCUAUGUGCGUAGCACUGCUGGGCUUUGCAGAACAUUUCCGUACGUCGAGUCCGCCGAAGAUCCGUCUGUGUGUCCACUGUGUGCAGGCAGUGUUUCAGUACAAGCCGCCUCCUAGGGUCAAAGCCCGGGACACACGUCCAGCUACGCUCGGUGCUGUAUCGACGACACACAAAGGACAGCGAGCUGGCCCAGAACUCACCUGGAGAAAGCGGUGCGCAGCAGCCAGAGUGUCUGACGCCAGGCUGUGAACUUGGUGGACUCUGCUAAACCAGUGCUGCGGAAGGUCAUCCAGAUUUCUGCAGACUGCUUUUUCAGCUGGCAGUAAGAAGAUAUGUAUUAUAAACAUAUUCAUAUUUGUUCAGUUGAUUUGAAGAAUGUUUCAUUAUGUGUGGCAUGCUUUUCUCUUUCUCAGCAACAAGGCAGCACAAGGUAAACCAAUUAGAUUUAUGUUGAACACAUCGAGAGAUUGUACAUUGUUGUGUGGUUUAAUGCUCAUGACCUCACAUUAAGUGUGUUCUUUUCUUUUCCUGCAGAGCUCUGUUUUUACUAAGUAAAGGAAUGAUAAGUGUGAAUCAUUCUCUGUUAAUUAAAGGCACUUUACAUAUUAUUUGUGGAAUAAAUUAUCAAAAUGAUCCUCAUGGGAAAAAUACGUCGAUAACCGCUUCAGAAUUUCAAUGUCAAUACAUUUUUAGAUUAAUUGUCCAGCCGUACAUUCUAUAUUUAUGUUUUUUUCUUUAAGAAAAUUUUAUUUUUGAAUUUUUGUAAAUCUCGUUUUACAGUCUUCUAAAGAGGAUUAAUCCUGAUCACAACUUUCCUGUCAGGAUAUUUCUAAGGGAGACCCUGAAGAUGUCUAAUGCUGAGGAUCUAAACAGGCUGACUGCCUGCUCGCUAGUCCUGCUGGGUCACAUCUUUUUUGUCCUGGGCAACCACAGGGUAAGUAGCAAUAUGGUGGUUCCUGCCUUGCAGCUGGCCAGCAAGAUCCCAGACGUGUCUGUGCAGCUCUGAUCCUCUGCACUCCUUAAAGCCGAUCUGAACAAGGCUUGUAGAAACGCCAUGGCGGGAGGGCCCACGAGGCAGCUCCGAUGCACCAGAACUUUUCCCAGCAGCUCCUGCAGGACCACAUCGCAGCCUGCAGCCUCCCUGAACACCACCUCAUCCGUAGGACAGACGGCCUCUCCCCUGCGCAGUUUCCGCCUCAGAAUGGCCCUGCUACCAGCCUGGCCAAGUUUAUUCACUGAAGAGGAACAAAUAUGAGCGUUCAUGAGAUUAAAGACAAUUUAAGAUUAUAUUAGAUUUACUAGACCCUGGAACCAGUUGACUAUUUAAUAUUAAGGCAUUUAAGCAUGUAUUAAUGUUUUGAAGGUAUUGAAAGUGUACUUUAAAUGUGUUUUGAGACUUUGAUGCAUCAAAAAAGUAUUUGGAUACUUUUUGGACACUGCAAUUCAGUUGACUUGCUGCCUGACCUUUGGAUUUUUGCCCUUUCACUCUCACUGGGGUGGUGUAUGUUUAUAUGCUGUGCACAUUUUGUGUGGAGUCAAGAAACCAGUAAUAAUUAGGUGUAUGAUAUAUGUGUUUUAUGAUGAAACAUAUUUUUUUUUGAUCUUUUUGGAAUCAUGUUUUUUUUCUUCUCAUUGUCUGUUUUACUCAUGUCUUCCAGAUGAUGGCGGUAUAAAUCUGUAUUUAAAUACCUUAUAUAUUUAAUGUUACUUUUCACUAUACCAGACGCAGUUGUUGUUGUUUGCUGAUUACCGUUUGAUUUAUUAUCAAAUAACUGGUAGGACUGUCGAUUCCGUUACACUAAUGUAGGAAUGAUGUAUUUUUACUUUUUUCUAUGAAGACAUUCAUUUUACAGAUUUGUGCGCUGAUAGUUUCAAAAUAAACUGCUGAGUUUGGUAUUUUGCAAAGUAAUUACUGCAAUAAAACCUACGUUAUGGAUACCAUUUAUUAGCAUUUAACAGUAUGUUAUAAAGAGGACUUUUUUAUUUGUGUUUUCUCCAUUGUCAUUUUAACUGUGUUCA